rnacentral:misc_RNA from 1 species
GAUGAAGAACGCAGCGAAAUGCGAUACGUAGUGUGAAUUGCAGAAUUCAGUGAAUCAUCGAAUCUUUGAACGUACAUUGCACCUCUCGGUAUUCCGGGAGGUAUGCCUGUUCGAGCGUCAUUUGUACCCUCAAGCUCUGCUUGGUGUUGGGUGUUUGUUCCGCCUCUGUGUGUGAACUCGCCUCAAAACAAUUGGCAGCCGGCGUACUUGUUUCGGAGCGCAGCACAUUUUGCGAUCCAGAUCAACGUACAGCGGCAUCCAAGAAGCCUUAUUUAACGCUCUUGACCUCGGAUCAGGUAGGGAUACCCGCUGAACUUAAGCAUAUCAAUAAGCGGAGGA